rnacentral:rRNA from 1 species
UGAUCUGACGAGCUUGCUCUGAUUUGAUUUUAUCUGACAAAGAGUGGCGAACGGGUGAGUAACACGUGGGUAACCUACCUCUUAGCAGGGGAUAACAUUUGGAAACAAGUGCUAAUACCGUAGAAUACCAACAACCGCAUGGUUGUUGGUUGAAAGAUGGUUCUGCUAUCACUAAGAGAUGGACCCGCGGUGCAUUAGCUAGUUGGUAAGGUAACGGCUUACCAAGGCAAUGAUGCAUAGCCGAGUUGAGAGACUGAUCGGCCACAAUGGGACUGAGACACGGCCCAUACUCCUACGGGAGGCAGCAGUAGGGAAUCUUCCACAAUGGGCGCAAGCCUGAUGGAGCAACGCCGCGUGUGUGAUGAAGGGUUUCGGCUCGUAAAACACUGUUAUAAGAGAAGAACGGCACUGAGAGUAACUGUUCAGUGUGUGACGGUAUCUUACCAGAAAGGAACGGCCUAAAUAC